rnacentral:rRNA from 1 species
CAGCACCUCAAGUGGUCAGGAUGAUUAUUGGGCCUAAAGCAUCCGUAGCCGGCUCUGUAAGUUUUCGGUUAAAUCUGUACGCUCAACGUACAGGCUGCCGGGAAUACUGCAGCGCUAGGGAGUGGGAGAGGUAGACGGUACUCGGUAGGAAGGGGUAAAAUCCUUUGAUCUAUUGAUGACCACCUGUGGCGAAGGCGGUCUGCCAGAACACGUCCGACGGUGAGGGAUGAAAGCUGGGGGAGCAAACCGGAUUAGAUACCCGAGUAGUCC